CUUUCUUCAUCCUCAUCUUUUAUUCCUUUAAACUCUCAACACUGCCUCCUUUCUUCUCCCUCACGGUUCAGUAGCAGCCGGUUCUUGUCCUCCCUCCACCGUCAACGGAGCUGCUGCACCACCUUUGCCGCCACUUCAGUCACCACUUCCUCACCUCUUUGGUUUUGGUUUAUUGAAGAAUCAAGUUAGGGUUUCUGAUUUGGGAAAAGUUAGUGAAUUGAAGUUCAAGAUUGAAAGUUGAAAGGUCCUUCAAUGGUGAUUGAGGUCUAUCUCUUACAGGGGGUAGAUCCACUUUCAGGUUGCCAUUUUUAGUGUGGAUGGAUGUGCUGCUCAUUUAUGUGUCAUGUGUUGCGAUAGCGAGGACAUCGUUUCCGGAAGGUUAACUUAUAAUGAUAUUUUGACAAAUCAUGUUUUUUAAAAUAAAAAAAUAGAUAUUUUAUAAUGUAUUAACUUAGUUUAUAACUGGGUUGUAAGUAAUUGUAUUACAGUUUUGUAAAGUUUUUAAAUACUCUGAUAUUGGUUGCUGUGGCUAUCGAGCCACAGGUCGGAUUCAGCCCAGACUUCUAUAAGUCUUCCGCUGUGCUUUGUAGACAAUAUUAUUAUAUUGUUUACGCCGGUUUGGGCUGUUUCAUAACCCACAAACCCAAGAACACCUUCCUCCUUCACGACAUUCCCUCUAAAAUGGUCGAAAUCCUUGCUUAAGUUCUUCAAAAGAUGAACAACCUUCUUUCUCAUUCAAUUCGCUAAUUUUCGAGUGCAACCAUGUAAUCUUGAUCUGAAAUUUUUAAAGAAUUCAGCCCUAAUGUAGCCUUCUUUGAAGCUUUACUUCGAAAAAUAACAACGGCAGGACUCACACCUUCUCCUUCCCUCUGAGUUUUGAAGGAUCUAUGUUGCGAAAUCAGUUGAUUCUUUCUCUUUGCGAUAUUUUUUUUAAGAAGCAUCCAAAAACUUCCUUUCUUAACCUGAAUUCUGCCGAUUUGAGGAAGGAUUGAAUGAGUUUUUGGUCCUGUUGAAUAAACAUCAAAUCCAAGCCGAAAAUAAAGCUUUGAACAUGAAUUUUUCGGUUUCUUGCUGCUGCAAACAGAAGUUUGUCUACAAAUCGGAACCAGACGGGAAUAAUGAAUUAGCGGAGGUGAUUAGUGGUUCCAAGGAUGUAUAUGGAGCUGAGUACUUAGGAAUUAUAGAUUUGUAUUAGGAAUUUUGGAUAAAUGUAAAUUUGUUUUGGCUGUGCUGGUUAUAUCGGACUUAUAGAGAAUUGUAUGAUUAUCUUGUGUAUUAGUUAGAUGUUGGUUUUGGGAUUUAGCUUAAUUAGUCACGUUGAAGAGCUUGUGACCCCUUUUGCUUGAGUUUUGGAAGUGUGAUUUCGGUUUCUUGGGAAACGAACCCAGUGAUGACCCUGUUUACCCAGUCAACGGUAAGUCGGGUUGUUACACUAACUGCGAACACCAUCGAGGAUAAUGAGUUUGUUAGUGACUGCGAACAGGGUCAAAAAAGUCAACAACCCUUCUAUGCCUUUUUAAAAAAUUAAGCACUUGUUCGCAGUUACUAACUGCGAAUAGAACCAAACCUCAGAUUUGAAAAUUAGACGUUUAUGAAAUAAGUUGAUUUGCAUUUUAUUCCGUGCCUUUUUUUAUAAAUUACCCUAUCUAUUUCAAUAAUUCAUGAACAGUAGGCCAACUGAGAGGAGGAGGAUUUGGGCUGCGUGAAGAAAAGUGGAGAGACUGUGGGCUGCAAGGAAGGUUUGGAUUGCGUGAGGCUGGCCUAAAAGGGAAAAUUGGAAAAACAUAAGUGAAAAAAUUUAAAAAAAAUAACAAAAUAAACUAAGAAUCAAACUUAUUCCAAAAGUAAGUGUGAAUUUCCCAAACCUGAGGUUUGGGGCUGUUCGCAGUUAGUAACUGCGAACAGGUCAAAAAAGACAAAAUAG